AUUAGUAUUUUUUAAAGAUUUAAUUUAUUUAUUUCUCAGACAGAGAGAGUUAAAGAGAGAGAGCACACACAAGCAGGCAGAGUAUCUGGCAGAGGCUGCGGGAGAAACGGGCUCCCCGCCAAGCAAGGAGCCUAAUGCGGGACUCCAUCCCAGGACCCUGGGAUCAUGACCUGAGCCGAAGGCAGCGGCUUAACCAACAGCCGCCCAGGCGUCCCGAAGAAGCCUUUUUUUAAAUCACCCAACCUGCCUUCGUUGGUCUUGAAUUAACAGUAAUUACAUAAAAAAUGUACACCCGCAAAGCCCACACACCCCUGUCUGCUACAUUUUAAUGUAACCCAGAAAUGCAGAACCUGUCAUUUAAGCUGAAUUCGCUGAAACUCGACCCCGAUAAAAUGUCUAAGGCCAUUUUUAAGUGGAUAUUGGAGUUUUAUGAUGGGCUGGGGUGGGGGUAUUCCUUCCCAGGAACGUGCUGAGGGAAAAAUUAUAGAAAACAUGUAUCUCUGUUUUUAGCUAUUAAAAACUAUAAAUCCAAACUGCUCAGAGGAAGAUUUAGCAGACAUCACGAAACAUGACUAUUAAAGAUCAUGAUACUAACCUGUUUCCUGUUAAAGCCAAAGCAGCCAAGACCACUGGGAAGAAGCCUGCCAUCUGAUAAGGUCAGAUUUAUGUAAAUCAGGAGGAAGGGCACUCCAGAGGAAGCAUGGAGACCACGGGAAACGGGAGGAUGAAGUGUCUUUUGUAAGGUUUAGGUUCCCGCCAAAGGGAGUCAGGAGGGUCUAGGGAGAAGGAAAACCAGUUCGGGAUUGGACGCUGUUUGUGAGGUGGAACUAGGAAAAGAGGGUAUUAAUUGGGGAUUGGAUGCUCUCAUGAAGAGAGGACUGUUCACUAAUUGGGUGCACCCAGUAAUAAAUAAAAAUAAAUAGCUAGUAAUAGCUAGAUAUUAGCUAUUAAAGAGCCAGGUAUUAGGUAAAGAAUAGCUAUUAAGUAGCUGCAUAGCUAAUAAAUAGCCUUGGCAUCAUUUAUAAGAGAGCAGUAUCCCUCAGAGAGGUGGAUACAGCUUUUUACAGUUGCUGUAUGGCCUUGGGAAGAGCAAGGUUCUCUGUAAACUUUGCAGCUGGCAUAUCUGUCUCUGUCCUCUGGCACUGCUGCUUUUUCUCAUUUCAGUCUGAGCUGAUUUUAGUUCUUUUGUUCCUAGCGCAGAGGGAGAAUUAUGAUUUGACUCUUUCACCCAGCAUGCAGAACUAGACAGAAUUAAAGUUCUACCUUUGGAGCUCCAGACUGCUUUUAGAUGCAUUUUAUCAUGGACAGAAGUAAUUUUCACUUCAAUAAUCAAUUUUCAUCUUGCUCCUCCUUACCCUAUAUCAUGCAUUUACUGGAAAUAGAAGAUGAGAGUAAAGAAAAAAAAAAUUGGGAGGUGGGAUAAAGAAAAUACUGAAUUGUGGGGAAGUGACACAGAGGCAAGUAUAGAUGACAACAAAGAAUGUUUCAUGGGUGCCCCUAUAUUAGGAACAUUGGGGUAUAUGAGUUUUCACAAAAUGGAAAUGUUUAGCCUUCCCAGAGAUCACUGCUAUAUGACUGAAAACAAUAGUUAUUAAAUUAAGAAAGAAAGAAAGAAAUUAGGAGUAAGCAGCUAUUCUUGGGAAAAUAUGUUGAAGGUGAGGCUUGGGUGAGGUUCAGUAUGUAGCAAAAUGAACCCUAUAGUUAUAAUCAGGGUCCGUCUUGGUAAUUGCAGAGUUCUCAUCUACAUGCAGAUUUGAGACCGUAUAUUCAGGGUACUGUGAAGGACAGCCAAGAAAGUAGACAUGUCAAUGAAUAACUUGGCAGAAGAAUAGCAUAGAAUUAUGAAGGUAUGCAGAAUAAUUGCUGAAAGAAAAUAUAAAGAGAAAGUAGAUCUUGUGGAGAAGCAUUAUGAAAUGAAUUUAGAAGCAGACAGAGAGGAAUGGGGAAUUAUUGUAUAGAUGUAGCUUCAUGUAAUGUCAGAGACUGCUAGAACUAAAGACAUCGUUAAAGGUCAUCUAGUUCUAGUCAAACUCUAUCAUUAAUUUCACAAAUAGGGAAAUGAUAAUUGGGGAAUUUAAGAAACCUGCUUAAAGUCUUAAAACUAGAAAGUAGCAGAAUCAUGUUUAGAAGCCUCCUAACUCUUCCCCAUCUACUGUUCUUAGUUCUACCCCACACAUUUUCUGUUGUAAUUAUCCUCGGUGAAUGAAUACUUUAUUAAACACUUAUUCUGUGAAAUGGUAGAAUUAGUAACCACAACAAAGAGAUGAUUUUUAAGAUACCAGAUUAUUUGAUUUAGAUAAAUGCAGUUCCAUAGUUACAGUCCUUUGAAUUCUAAUGAGAUCCAUUGAGUGUAAGAUUUUCCUAUAAGCCAUUUCGUAAAUGUCUGUAUCUCAUUAGAAUUGUGGACUCUAGAACCAGGUAAGAUACUACAUACUUAAAACUGGGAUGAGGCAAAGUAUUGCUAUUUUAACACAGAAAAGCAAGCACAUAUAGCAACAUUCUAUAAUUCUAUUUUAAUUGAAAUGAAAAAAUAUUUUUACACUCAUCUUUUGUAGGAAUCACUGAUAUAAAUAAAAUUAAGCUGGAGAAUUAAAGGAAACGUGGAAUUUGACAUGUGAUAGUCAACUGCUAAGCCAACUGUUCUCAUCUUCUGGUAUUCACACUUUAGGGUAGUGCCAUCCACACUGAAUAGGGCUGAUAUGCAUAACCAAUAAGAUAUUGCAGAAAAAUUGUGUGACUUUGGAAGCUGGAUCAUAAAAGGCAUUGUGGAUUCUGUCUUAUUUUCUCUUGGAUUUUAUCCUGGGGAUCUAGCUGCCACGUCAUGAAGACACUCAUGCAGCCCCUAUGGAGAGGUCCACAUGGCAAGGAAGUGGAGUCUCCUGCCAACAGCCAGCAUUGACUUGGCAGACUUGUGAAUGAGCCACCUUAAUAACAGAUCUUCUAGCCCUCGUCAGGCCUUCAGGUGAUUGCAACACCAGCUGACAUCUCUGCUGUAAGCUCAUGAGAGACCCUGAUCCAGAACCACACACCUCAACUGCACCAUGAUCUAAAAUUGUGUAAAAUAUUAAGUGUUUAUUUUUAUCAUGUAUAUAUUAUAUGCAGUAGGUAAUAUAGUAUGUAAAGCCUGAAACCCCUGAAAUCAUUUACAGAGUUACAUGUUUAUAAGAAUGCAGCAGGAUGGAAACAUCUUUUUUUUUUUUUUAAAGAUUUUAUUUAUUUAUUUGACAGAGAAGGAUCACAGUAGGCAGAGAGGCAGGCAGAUAGAGAGAGGAGGAAGCAGGCUCCCCACUGAGCAGAGAGCCCGACACGGGGCUUGAUCCCAGGAUCUCAGGAUCAUGACCUGAGCCGAAGGCAGAGACUAAACCCACUGAGCCACCCAAGCACCCCUAGAAACAUCUAUCUUGAUUUAAAAGAACUGUUUGAUUUUUUUCCUAAGUUCUACUCCCUUAAAAGGAAUGUAUAACUGAAUUUGGGUUUUUUGUUUGUUUAUUUGUUUUUGUUUUUUAAGUAGGCCUCACAUCCAGCAUGGAGCCAAAUAUGGGGUUUGAACUCUUGACCCUGAGGUAAAGACCUGAGCUUAGAUCAAGAGUCAGACUCUUAACCAUCUAAACCACCCAGAUGCCCUUGUUGUUACUUUUGGUAGGAGACAAGGAAGUGUGGCAUGCAAAUUCUUCAUUUUCCAAGGAAUGUUUAAAAACUGAGCUUGUCACAUCCCUAAAGAGAAUGGAAUCAGAACUGGUAACUUGGGGUCAGCCUUCAAGGACCAUCAGUGUGAAGGAUAAUGAAACUUUGUGUUAAAAAAUAAUAUGGAUUUGAAAUGACAGUGUAUAUACUGAAGGGGUAAACAAGGAGAAAGGAUUGUCCAGGUAACAAGAGUAUGGCAUGCUGGAUCUGAGCUUGUCUAAGAAAAUAUCCUGCCUCCAGGAAAUGGGGAGUUGGGGGAAGUGAGUGCACUCAUAGAAGAAAAGAAGAGUCCCCUUUGAAGGCAUGUUGAGUGUGCAGGAUUCUCGUGGAUCAGAGCCCUUUGCAAUACCCACUCUGUACAUGGAAGCAAAUUUUUCUUGAUAAGCACCAGGGCUCCAUCAUUUUACUACUCUUUGAGAAUACAAGGUAUGGCCAUGCCCGGCAGUGCCACUAAGUUUUAUUUUAUUCUUUGUCUUAUGGCCCUCUACCCUCUGCAGUGCUCCUGGGCAUCUCUGAGCCCAAAAAGAUCACAUGAGCACCUGCCUAAGAAAGACUCAAGUGAACAAGCUUGAGACUAAAACAGCGAUCAGUGAAAGCCCUUAUAUGCAUAUGCACUUUUUUUUUACUGGAGAGAGAAUCUCUAUAGCUUUCAUCAGAUUUUCAAAUGGGUAUAUGAUCCAAAAAAGGUUGCUCAAAUCUAGAGCAAUCUUUAAAAUGUAAAACCUCCAUUUUUUUUAGAAGUACUGCUCCCUUUUAGAUACAUGAAAAUUUAUAUUGGGCACUUUUAAUAUAUUACUAUGUUAUUUACAUGAUAUUAACUUACAUGAGUGAUUUGCAAAUGACAAUCUACAUGAGGACAAGAAUACCAAUCCUAUACAUAAUACUUAGCAUAUUGCUUUCUCAAAAUAGCUAUUUCAUAAUUAUGUUAUAUGAUUGGAUAAUAAGUGAAGAAAAAAAGAAAGCAUAUAUGAGCCUUUAUAUGAAUAAAAUUCCACAUAAUUUAUUUCUCAUAGUAGGGAAAAGAUGCAUUUAUACCAACUUUGUUAGAAUUCAGAUAAUAUGUUUUGGUUUAAAAUAGAAAAUGAACAGGAGUAUGCUUGUUAAUUAGCAUUACCCCUUCUUCCUACUACCCACCCCCCAGUCCAUUAUUUGCUCUUUUUUGCCUUAUGCUCUAGCAAACUGAUCACCAAGGGCUGCAGGUCCUGUGCUAUCUGUGCUAUUCUAUUCCCUGGAAGUUGGCUGCUGUUUGGGUUUGGCUGAUGGGAGGCACUGGCAUAAGAAAUAGGUCGGAGUAUUUCUGCCCACCUCUUCCCUCCCACCCCCAUCCGCUUUAACAAACCAUCUCUGUCAGCAGUCUCAUCCCUCUUAGACUGUAGUGCCUACCUGGUGGUCCUUCUAUGGUUCCAGCUGGCAGCUGGCUCUCUUUCCCAUAUCCCCUCAGCCUGAGGAGUAUUGUUAGUCUGUGGGUGUCGACCAGCCUUCCUUAUUCCCUUCACCCUACCCACAUCACUGUAUGUAGUACUUUAACUAACACUUCUUUCUUUGAGUCAUGUAGAGGGAAUUCUAUUCCCUGGAAGGGCCCUGACUGAUGAUACACAUUCUAUGUACCAGUAGUUGUUCUAAGUCCUUCAUGUACGUGAUCCCACUUAAUCCUUACAUGAAGCCUAAGAAGUAAAUACUGUAAAUAUCUCCUUUUUACAGGUAAGUUGACCUUUUAGAGUGAAUUAAUAUGGUGGCUACAUGGGGUUCUGUGGGACAUCUACAUAUUAGGUAGUUUGCAAACAACUAAUGAUGCGUCAACAGGCCCUGAAAUCAACUAUGUAGACAACAACUAAUAAGCUGUUAGGUUGCUAUAUGCUAGUUGGUUAUGUUAUAUGACUGGAUAGAAAGAUACACUUCUGUUGCCAUAAAAUCAUCUCUUUGAUCCAGUGUCAAAUACACUACUAGCUUUUCUAUAACAGUUCAACAAUCGCAGAAAACUUUUUGUCAUUGACGCUUAUCUACAUAGUACUUAAAAUUAGUCACAACUUUAAGAGGAAAUGAAGCUAAUUACUAUUAAAAAUACAUCUUUUUUUGUUGCUACCAUUAGGCAAUGAAAACAGUUGAGAGAAGCUUUGUGCCUUAGUCCUCUGUUUGAAUCGGGAAAUACAGAAAAGUCAAAAUGUGUUUUCAGUCAUCUUCCACAUCUUUUCCACAUCUCUGCCCAUCCUCUGUUUGCUCCAUGUAUGCUGCCAUAUAGUUAGUGUCAUUUAUGUUUUUCAGAAUGGCUGCUGGACUACAGGAGUACAGAUCAAACCCAUGCCAGGAACAGUCCAGGAUCACACGUUAUAUGGGUAGGCUUGUGACUGCUUCAACCAAGAGAGUAAACAGAAGUGAUGCUAUGUGACAAGGGGGAGAAACAUAGAUCCCACCUCUCAAUGAUCAAAUGCAGUGGUAAUGAGUUCUGCGGGAGCAUAAUCUUCAAAAGUGGCUCCUUUACAACAGAAUUUUAAAGGUCUCCAUGUUGAAGCAAGUGCAACCUGCUCAAGAUGGCCAAGAAGUCCCACCAACCUAGAAGAAUUCAUAUGGAGAUCCAUGUUGCUCAGGCCUAACUCCUGACGUGCUUUGGCACCAGGAGCUAAAAACUGGAAUGUGCUGCUUGCUUCUGGGGUGCUGCUGACCCACUGAAGAUGUCACUGAGAACAUUGCCACUGAGAACAACUGGUAAUUUUAGCUCUCCGCUGAAGGAAUUAAUCUACACUUAUUAGUUAUGGAGUACUGUUGAAAAAUUCUUUUAACAUUUAAUUUCUUUAGCUCUCUAUAUGUUUAUUCCUUUGAGAAACUUGGUUCAUCUUUGGUGUUCAUUGAGAGCGUCUUCUAAGAGCUCAUAUCUGGAUCAAUUCUCAUGUUUGUCUUCUAUUGUAUUUUGUGUAUUUUAUAUUGAAAGCAUUGGUUUAUAUUCCUGUCUUUCUUGGUGCAGCUAUAGACUAUUCAUGGAACUUACAGGGACAGGGAUUGUAUCAGACAUUUUAAUUAUUUGAACUGAACUCUUUGUAGCCUUCAUCAUUGUCAGAGCAAGCUCUGUCCCCCAAAAAACUCAUCAAGUUUUUCUGUGAAUGUCCUACAACAUGGCUAAGACUGGUAAUUAUCUCCAAACAAUACUUCCUGUUCUUUUAAGAGUAACAAAAAUCUUAGGUGGGCAUAAAACAAUAUAGUAAAUACAUUUCUCAGAUUCUAUUGUAGCUAGAUGAGGUCUUGCAAUGAAGUUUUGGCACUGUAUUGUGAGCAAAGUGUGGACUCUCCCUCCCAGUUUGUGCCGGGAAAGAGAAGGAGAAUACUUUCUUACCUCCACAUUUUGCAUUUUACUAUUUGGAUGAGGGAUAUAGUGAUGAACUAUCUCCACCCUUAAAGACAAAGACCCUCCUCUAGACAUGAUAGAAAAAACAGCUAAGAGGAUUCUGGGACCUGACAACACAGUUAUCAUAAUAGUCCUGGACUGCUCACUCCUAAACUAUGUAUAAUAUGAGGGAAAAAUAAACUCCUAUCUCAUUCAGAUCACUGAAUAACCACUUUGGUGUGUGGUAUACAUUAAAAUAUUUAUUCCAUGGAGCCAGCUAGUGUUCUUAUUUGUCA